GCAUCGAUGAAGAACGCAGCGAAAUGCGAUAANUAAUGUGAAUUGCAGAAUUCAGUGAAUCAUCGAGUCUUUGAACGCACAUUGCGCCCCCUGGUAUUCCGGGGGGCAUGCCUGUCCGAGCGUCAUUGCUGCCCUCAAGCACGGCUUGUGUGUUGGGCUUCCGUCCCUGGUAACGGGGACGGGCCCAAAAGGCAGUGGCGGCACCAUGUCUGGUCCUCGAGCGUAUGGGGCUUUGUCACCCGCUCCCGUAGGUCCAGCUGGCAGCUAGCCUCGCAACCAAUCUUUUUAACCAGGUUGACCUCGGAUCAGGUAGGGAUACCCGCUGAACUUAAGCAUAUCAAUAAGCGGAGG
rnacentral:rRNA from 1 species